rnacentral:rRNA from 1 species
GACGGGGGAUGCAAGUGUUAUCCGGAAUCAUUGGGCGUAAAGCGUCUGUAGGUGGUUUACCAAGUCUGUUGUUAAAAAUCAGGGCUUAACCCUGAUCCGGCAACAGAAACUAGUAGGCUGGAGUACGGUAGGGGCAGAGGGAAUUCUCGGUGUAGUGGUGAAAUACGUAGAUAUCGAGAAGAACACCAAUAGCGAAAGCACUCUGCUGGGCCGAAACUGACAUUGAGAGACGAAAGCUAGGGGAGCGAACGGG